GGGAAAAAAAGAAGAAUAAAAAGUGCAAAAAAUUACUAGUUGGUAAAAUCUUCUAUUGAGAAAUGUCAUAGUUGUUCAAAUAUAGAGUUCAAGAGCCAAGCUCUUAAUAAGUAUAUGGAGAACAUUAAUGCAACGGAAAGUACCCAUGAGAUGAGCUCCUUUACUUCUCUUUCUAUGGCCUCUUCUUCUCUGUCAGCAAGCUGCUUCUUCUGCUGCCAUGAAAGAACCUCCACCUCAGAGCCUUUCUUCUUCUUCUUCGAUUCCCUCCCGGAGGACAUGAGGAAGUAACGGUGAAUGCAGAAGAAAGGAGGCAGGGUUGGAUUGUUUUGUAUACGAAGGGAAAUGUAACAGUCGGACAUGAAACGUUAGAUGUGUAAUGAGAUGGCAAACAAAAGCAGGAUGAAACGCAAACGCAAAGAUCUCGUUUCAACGGUUUAGGAUCUGAAAACACAUGUGACUACUUAGCAGCCGGCAAUGUGGGUGUCGGUCAAAUCAGUUGGUUGGCAAG
rnacentral:lncRNA from 1 species